AGGACGAACGCUGGCGGCGCGCUUAACACAUGCAAGUCGAACGGUGAACGGGGCUUCGGCCCCGGAAUCAGUGGCGAACGGGUGCGUAACACGUGGGCAACCUGCCCCAGACACUGGGAUAACUCCGGGAAACCGGGGCUAAUACCGGAUACUCCGCUUGGAUCGCAUGGUCCGAUCGGGAAAGCUUUUGCGGUCUGGGAUGGGCCCGCGGCCUAUCAGCUUGUUGGUGAGGUAACGGCUCACCAAGGCGACGACGGGUAGCUGGUCUGAGAGGACGACCAGCCACACUGGGACUGAGAUACGGCCCAGACUCCUACGGGAGGCAGCAGUGGGGAAUCUUGCGCAAUGGGCGAAAGCCUGACGCAGCACGCCGCGUGGGGGAUGAAGGCCCUCGGGUUGUAAACCCCUUUCGGCAGGGACGAAGCGAUUGUGACGGUACCUGCAGAGAAGCCUCGGCUAACUACGUGCCAGCAGCCGC
rnacentral:rRNA from 1 species